rnacentral:lncRNA from 1 species
AUAUUCCUGACAUUCAUGUGUCCCAAUCUUUGAUGCCAUAGUUCAACAUUUCCUUGCGCUAUCAUGCAUUUGAUCUUCUUUUCCCACAUGUAGCAGUUGUUACCAGAUCUGAUACCUUGCAAAAUCGUCACGCCAUAUGCAUUUAUUGCACGACAGUCAGUCACUGAGAAUACUACAUUGAGUCCUUCAUCACACAAUUGACUAACACUAAUCAGAUUUGCUUUUAGUCCUUUGACGAAGUACAUAUUUGCUAGCUUAGGUAACUCUGAGUUGCACGUGAUGUCUUUGCCUUUGAUGAUUCCAC